GCCUGGGUGGCUUAGUUGGUUAAGCAUCUGACUUCAGCUCAGGUCAUGAUCUCACAGUUUGUGGGUUUGAGCCCCACAUCAGGCU
rnacentral:tRNA from 1 species